UAUUGCACAAUGGGGGGAACCCUGAUGCAGCGACGCCGCGUGAGUGAAGAAGUAUUUCUGUAUGUAAAGCCCUAUCAGCAGGGAAGAAAAUGACGGUACCUGAAUAAGAAGCCCCGGCUAACUACGUGCCAGCAGCCGCGGUAAUACGAAGGGGGCAAGCGUUAUCCGGAUUUAUUGGGCGUAAAGCGUCCGCAGCCGGUUUAUUAAGUAUAGAAUAAAGCUUCGGGGCUCAACCCCGUCUCGUUCUAGAAACUGAUAGACUAGAGUGUGGUAGAGGCAAGUGGAAUUUCUAGUGUAGCGGUAGAAUGCGUAGAUAUUAGAAGGAACACCAGUGGCGAAGGCGACUUGCUGGGCCAUCACUGACGGUCAGGGACGAAAGCGUGGGGAGCGAAUAGG
rnacentral:rRNA from 1 species